CAUGAAGUAAUUCAUGGGUAGAAUAGGACAAUGGGUUUUCUGCAUUGAAAUAAUAUGAUUUCUUCGUGCGCGAAACAUUCGUUUGAUUCCCGCUUUGCGUGGAUGAAAACGGGCGGCCAUGCAUGGUCCGCCUAUUCGAUACAAUAACGAGUCAGUGAAGCGUGAUAAGUCCUCCCGAAAACUGCUCAGAAAUGGGACUUUGAAACUUCGAAACCCGAAGCGAAGCUUCGACGUGUGUGGCAGCCACCAGGGAGCGCCGCGGUGCGUGGAGGCGGUGGGCGGCGGGGAGGAGGGUUGCGGUGCUCGCUGGCCAGGACUCAAGACCUCUGGGCCCCCUCUGUCCCGCGGCGCCGGCAUGGAGUCGUUAGUGCAGGCUCAAGUACCCACGAGGACGCCUAGAGGAGCGGCACACAAGCCAGCAUCAUGACCUUCCCGCGCCUUCAGGUUCGGGGACGAGGGGAAGACCAGCGCUGAGUGGCGAGAAGGGCGGUGCUACGGACUGAUGCUGCUGUGAGGUUUCAACGCUUCAAGGGAGAUUGCUUCUAAUUCUGCAUGAUGGAUGUGCAAUAAGGUGUUCAUGUCUUGGUCUUAUAGCAAGGUAAGAGGAAGGAAGAGGCAAGUAGUGCCCUGAGGGGCCACUUCCCCUUGGCCCGAGGCAAGAAAGACUAGCUGAUGUGCAAGAGGAACCCUGGAGAGAUCACAGCUGGUGGUGACCCUAGUGCUGCCGGCUCGGCAAGC